UAAUAUUACCUCAUAUGUUGUGACGGUUUUCUUAAUGUCCCGUCGCCUUUUUUUUAAAUUUUUAUUUAAUAUCCUUAAAUUUAAAUAUCUUAUAUCGUUACGUUAUUCGUACAAAUAUGCACUCAAUUAUUGGUUUAAGGUUAUUUCAUUCUAAUAUUUAUAUUUUGGGGUUGUUACUUAUUUGUUACUUAUUAGAUAAAUGGUCGACGCGGACUCGGCCCGUUGCUGCGAUGAUUCAUGAUAACUCAAAGGAUUGCAUGGCUAUUGUGCCGACAAUGCAUAAUUCAAAUUUCUGUCCUAUCAAGUUUCAAUGGUAGGAUAGUGGCCUACCAUGGUAGUGACGGCUGGCGGAGAAUUAGGGUUCGAUUUCGAAGAGGGAGCCCGAGAAAUAGCUACCACAUCCAAGGAACGCAGAAGGCGCGCAAAUUACUCAAUCCUGAUAUGGGGAGGUAGUGACAAUAAAUAACAAUACAGGAUCAAUGAGUCUGGUAAUUUGAAUGAGUACAAUCUAAAUCCCUUAACGAAGAUCUAUUAGAGGGAGAGUCUGGUGCCAGCAGCCGUAGUAAUUCCAGCACCAAUAGCAUAUAUUUAAGUUGUUGCAUUUAAAAAGCUCGAAUUUGGACUUUGGGAUUGGCCAGUCGGCCCGCCUAUGGUGUGCAUUGGUCAUCUCCUCCCUUCUAUCCGUGAUGCGCUCCUGGACUUAACUGGCCGGGACGUGCCUCCGGCGCUGUUACUUUAAAGAAAUUAGAGUGCUUAAAGCAAGCCUACGCUCGAUAUACAUUAGCAUGGGAUAACAUUAUAGGAUUUCGGUCCUAUUACAUUGGCCUUCGGGAUUGAAGUAAUGAUUAACAGGGACAGUCGGGGGGAUUCGUAUUUCAUAGUCUGAGGUGAAAUUAUUGGAUUUAUGAAAUACGAACAACUGCGAAAGCAUUUUGGAAGGAUUUUUUCAUUAAUUAAGAAUGAAAGUUGGGGUUUAGAAGGUGGUCAGAUACCGUCCUAAUCUCAACUAUAAACGAUGCCGACCAGGGAUCGGCGGAUGUUGCUUUUAGGACUCCGCCGGCACCUUAUGAGAAAUCAAAGUUUUUGGGUUCCGGGGGGAGUAUGGUCGCAAGGCUGAAACUUAAAGGAAUUGACGGAAGGGCACCACCAGGAGUGGAGCCUGCGGCUUAAUUUGACUCAACACGGGGAAACUUACCAGGUCCAGACAUAGUAAGGAUUGACAGACUGAGAGCUCUUUCUUGAUUCUAUGGGUGGUGGUGCAUGGCCGUUCUUAGUUGGUGGAGCGAUUUGUCUGGUUAAUUCCGUUAACAAAUGAGACCUCCGCCUGCUAACUAGCUAUGUGGAGGUAGCCCUUCACGGCCAGCUUCUUAGAGGGACUACGACCUUUUAGGCCGCAGAAGUUUGAGGCAAUAAAAGGUUUGUGAUGCCCUUACAUGUUUUGGGCCGUACGCACACUACACUGAUGUAUUCAACGAGUUUAUAGCCUUGUCCGACAGGCCCGGGUAAUCUUUGAAAUUUCGUCAUGAUGGGGAUAGAUUAUUGCAAUUGUUGGUCUUCAACGAGGAAUUCCUAGUAAGCGCGAGUCAUCAGCUCGCGUUGACUACGUCUCUGUCCUUUGUACAUACUGCCCGUCGCUCCUAAAGAUUGAAUGAUUUGGUGUAAUGUUUGGAUCACGGCGACGUGGGCGGUUCGCUACCCGCGACGUCGUGAGAAGUCCAGUAAACCUUAUCAUUCAGAGGAAGGAGAGUACGUAACAAAUUUUCUGUAGGUGAACUUGCGGAAG
rnacentral:rRNA from 1 species